rnacentral:ncRNA from 1 species
UUUCCCCCAGGAUAGCUGGAGCUCGUGUGGUGCAGUUAUAUUCGGUAGAGCGAAUGAUUAGAGGAAUUGGGGACGAAACGACCUCAACCUAUUCUCAAACUUUCAAUGGGUAUGAAGUCCCGCUUGCUUGACGUUGCUGAAGCGUAGACAUUGAAUGUGAGCUUCAAGUGGCCCAUUUUUGAUAAGCAGAACUGGCGCCAAGCU